rnacentral:rRNA from 1 species
ACGUACACUCCUGCGGGAGGCAGCAGUGGGGAAUAUUGGACAAUGGGCGCAAGCCUGAUCCAGCCAUACCGCGUGAGUGAUGAAGGCCCUAGGGUUGUAAAGCUCUUUCACCGGUGAAGAUAAUGACGGUAACCGGAGAAGAAGCCCCGGCUAACUUCGUGCCAGCAGCCGCGGUAAUACGAAGGGGGCUAGCGUUGUUCGGAUUUACUGGGCGUAAAGCGCACGUAGGCGGACUAUUAAGUCAGGGGUGAAAUCCCGGGGCUCAACCCCGGAACUGCCUUUGAUACUGGUAGUCUUGAGUUCGAUAGAGUUGAGUGGAAUUCCGAGUGUAGAGGUGAAAUUCGUAGAUAUUCGGAGGAACACCAGUGGCGAAGGCGGCUCACUGGCUCGAUACUGACGCUGAGGUGCGAAAGCGUGGGGAGCAAACAGGAUUAGAAACCCUAGUAGUCCCAUGAU